rnacentral:rRNA from 1 species
GGGGAAUAUUGCACAAUGGGGGAAACCCUGAUGCAGCAACGCCGCGUGAAUGAUGAAGGCCUUCGGGUCGUAAAGUUCUUUGAUUGGGGACGAUAAUGACGGUACCCAAAAAACAAGCCACGGCUAACUACGUGCCAGCAGCCGCGGUAAUACGUAGGUGGCGAGCGUUGUCCGGAUUUACUGGGCGUAAAGGAUGCGUAGGUGGAAACUUAAGUGGGAUGUGAAAUCCCCGGGCUCAACCCGGGAACUGCAUUCCAAACUGGGUUACUUGAGUGCAGGAGAGGAAAGCGGAAUUCCUAGUGUAGCGGUGAAAUGCGUAGAUAUUAGGAAGAACACCAGUGGCGAAGGCGGCUUUCUGGACUGUAACUGACACUGAGGCAUGAAAGCGUGGGGAGCAAAC